UUCAUUAAUAUUCAUUCGAUAUAUCGCAAGAGUAACUGAGUAAGUGACGAUGCACCCCUGGCAUUGUGCCUAUCGGAGUGCAUAAUCAAAACAAAAACAAAAAACAGCUGAUUGGGAAUUGCAUUACAUGCAAAUUUUAUGCUGCUGAUUGCAUACGAAAUACAGGCGGGCGCAAUACUGUAGACAGCGGAAUUGCAUUAAGUGCAAGCUGACUAGCAGGAACACCUAUAAGAUGCGCAACAAACUUAGCAGUGAGAAGAUCCGCUAAUUGGAUUUAGAGAGAAGAGUCGGGACAUCGUCCGGUCAUUUUCUCCAUACUUGUCUAAGCUAAUAUAACUUUUAAUUAAAUUCUUGAACUUAUAUCUAUAAUUCUUUUCAUUUUAUCACCUUUAUUUCAGUCUAAAAAGUUAAAUUAAACCGCAAGUGCAAUUUAGGAGAGAUUGUGCAGCUGUGCGUUUAUACGUUUAUCGGGAUGCAUAAAUCAAAACAAAAGAACUAUCGCAAAAAAAAAAAACAAUCGCGAAGAGAGGUUGUGCACCCCUGGUAUGCAUAUCGAUAUGCACAGAUAAAAACAUAUGUUUGAAGAACAUAUGAUGAAAAGGCAGAGUGCAAUUUAUUGCAAAAGUUGCAACUGAAAGAGAUGAGUAUGGAUUCUAAUAAGAA
rnacentral:sRNA from 1 species